rnacentral:lncRNA from 1 species
CAAUAUAUUUUACUCGAAGACAAUACAAAAUUACAAUAACAAAGCAAUUACGUACAUGAUUGACAGUUAAUACAGUGAACCUAUUUAUAGCUAAUUAUAGCAUAAUGUCUCUGUCUGAUAAUGUAACGAUAUAUUAAAAUGUUAAUAAUUACUCUGUUCAUAACACUCCCCAGGGUUGAGCCGUACACAGUGCUCAACAAUACUCCCCAGAAUAAUCGUAACUAGAAAUAUGAAAGUUUCACGAACUACAGUCUGUCUAACUGUUCGCAUAAUCGGUUUCUCAAAUAAUUAAUUAACGGAUAAUGUUUAUGUCUUCCUUUGAAACUCUUUCAUCUGUUCCAGUCUUCGCAAUUCACCCACUACAUAUUCUCCUUGCAUAUUCUCCGUGUUCCUAGCAGUUCGUUUAACUUUAAGUUCGUUGACAAACCUUAACACGUACGCUGUUACACGCAACAGCUUAGCGAAGCUGCUGAAACGGUCACAAUUUAUGAUGUCGUUCAGAUUCAAUUCAGCUGAUUCUUCUUCUUUCGUACUGACGAGUGAAUGAAUAACAGUCUGCGGUUUCUUAACGGUUUCGUUCAAAGCUGUGUCAUCCAGGGCGCUCGCUGCUGGAUCCUUCGGCCACUUGCACUGAGGCUUGUAAAGAUACUCUGGUCCACCCCACCUGGUCCAGUGGUAGCUGAUCCAUUAUAGACCACUCGCAACUUUGUAGUCGAUUUGUCUUUCCUUACUACACCGUGAUGUGGAAGAUAAUGCACGUUGUUUUCGUUCUCUUUGUUGUCGUCGCUUUGAUAAGGCACUCGCUCGAUUACUCCCGAUAUUAAUUGUUCCUGAAUUCCUUUGUCAUAUUCUCGAAGAGGCUCAGGUUGUCUUGUUAACUUCUGAUUCAACGACCGUAACCGAUUGUAACAAAGUUCGUAGUCGACUCCGACCUCAGGAUUGUCCUCUUCCCAAGGUAGGCGAACUUCGUACCGUUCUCCUGUAAAUCGAAUAUCACGAAUGAAGUUGACAUCAUCGUUUGGUUCAGCUUUAUAAUUGUCUAUUCCUGUGGACUCUGUUUCCCAAAAACGCUUUAGUGAAUUGACAAUCUUGUCCUCGUUCGUUGACGCGGUGAAGUAUCUUGAUGUGUCCAAUGAUUCACCAGUUAGGAUCAGAUUUGAAACAGUCGGAUCUUCGUGUUCAGCAGAUUUUGGUACUCGACCGGAUAACAACCAUCCAAGCUUGCUGCUGACCGCUGUAGGACCACUUUCACCUUUUACAACAUCACCUGUGACAAUGUCCCAAUAAUGGUCUGCGCCAAUUAGGAUAUCGAUGCUGUUACUUUCAUUAUCGUCGCCGCCAAAGUCUGCAAGUUCCAGCCCUUCCAGAUGUACGUAAUUCGUGUUGACUUUCGAGUUCAGUGGAGAACAUAUUAUAGGGAAAUUAAUUGCUGUAACUUCUACCUCUUCACUUCCGUUUUGGUUCUCGAUAUUGAAUUUGUAGAUUUCACAGUUUUGGCGCUUGCAUUUAUUGUCCCCAAAUGUGUUCAAAUACAGUGUUUCCUUUCUAAGUGGUUCCAACUUUAAUUUCGCUUGAGUUGAAUUCGUAAUAUAAGAGCGUUGGCUCCCUGUGUCAAAUAAUACGCGUACGGGAACUGAUCUUACACCGUUCGUUGCCUUUGCUCUAGCUGUUUGAAGUAAAACAGUACCCUUACAGAUUUUUGUGGCUGUUGUUGUAGAUUCCUCAUUUUUCGGCUGUUCGGUUGACUUCGCGCUUUCGACUUUCUGAUUUCGUGAACAUAUCGAUUGGUGGUGCCUGCCCUGGCAGUGGCGGCACUUUCUUGCAUUGUUACAGUCUUUCGCGUUGUGUCCUUUCCAUAAACAAUUGAAACAACGUCCUGAUUCACUAAGAACUUUCUUUCGAGCUUCACAAGGAACAAUCUUUUCGCAUGAUGCUGAAUAAUGGCGACCACUACAGUAAACGCAUUGGAUUUUGGAAUUGUCGGGCAGCUGACCAUUGUUCACAAACAUAGCAGCAGCAGUAGGCUUGUUCCCGUUGUUCUUAGAGUUGUAAUCUUGGUAUUUAGAGCCUUGUUGAUUAUUUCCACUCGACUUAGUGCUUUCGCUCAUUUCUCUUGCUUCGAUUUCAAGUUUUAUCGUAGUAAGUAAUUCAUCGAUCUUCCAAGCUUCUUUGGUGGCCUUUCGUGCGAUCUGCAGGCGAAUAUCGCUUGGCAACUUUGACAUUAUAAUCGGUAUCAAUAGGCUGCCAUAUUGUUCCGAGGAAACGCCCAAUGAAGCUAGACCACGUACAUGCACGCUAAUUUUGUCAUAGACGUAUCUUAAGGAAGAUAGUUUCUCUCCUGUGCAAGCUUGUACUUUAAGUAUUUCAUCCAUAUGGGCCGCAAUGACUUGUUGUGGCCUUCCAAAACGGUCCUGGAGAAUUUCUACAGCGGCGUCAUAAUUCG